UACGUAGGGGGCAAGCGUUGUCCGGAUUUAUUGGGCGUAAAGAGCGUGUAGGCGGCCAGGUAGGUCCGCUGUGAAAACUCGAGGCUCAACCUCGAGAUGUCGGCGGAAACCAUCUGGCUAGAGUCCGGAAGAGGAGAGUGGAAUUCCUGGUGUAGCGGUGAAAUGCGCAGAUAUCAGGAAGAACACCCGUGGCGAAGGCGGCUCUCUGGGACGGUACUGACGCUGAGGUGCGAAAGCGUGGGGAGCAAACAGG
rnacentral:rRNA from 1 species